AGCCUUCCAUUCAUGAGCGUGAUGAUUGGGUUUUCAUGCCUUAUGCAUGAGAUGUGCCACCCUCAAACUUUGUUACAACAUGGGUACAUUGCCUGUCUGACG